CCUACGGGUGGCAGCAGUGGGGAAUAUUGCACAAUGGGGGAAACCCUGAUGCAGCAACGCCGCGUGGGUGAAGGAGCGUUUCGGCGCGUAAAGCCCUGUCAGCGGGGAAGAAGAAAGACGGUACCCGACCCCGAAGCCCCGGCUCACUACGUGCCAGCAGCCGCGGUAAUACGUAGGGGGCGAGCGUUAUCCGGAAUUACUGGGUGUAAAGGGAGCGUAGACGGCGAGGUAAGCCUGAAGUGGAAGCCCGCGGCCCAACCGCGGAACUGCUUUGGGAACUGUUUUGCUGGAGGAUGGGAGGGGUAAGCGGAAUUCCUGGUGUAGCGGUGAAAUGCGUAGAUAUCAGGAGGAACACCGGUGGCGAAGGCGGCUUACUGGACCGUAACUGACGUUGAGGCUCGAAAGCGUGGGGAGCAAACAGGAUUAGAUACCCCAGUAGUC
rnacentral:rRNA from 1 species